rnacentral:snRNA from 1 species
GCUUUUUCUUGGCCUUUUGCCUAAGAUCACAUAUAAUAUCUGUCCUUAUCAGUUUAAUAUCUGAUCCAUCCUGCAUUCAAGGACAAUAUAUUAAAUAGUUUUUUUUUCUUUUCUUUUUUUUUUUUUGAGCAGGGAGUCACAAUGGAGGCUUGCUCUGUUUGCUCCACACAUC